rnacentral:lncRNA from 1 species
AUGAGCUCUUUAUUGCUGUGGGUGACUUCAAGUCUCAACUAGGUUGCCAUAUUACAUCAGUCCAGCUGAGACAGAGCCUACUAGCCAGGCCACCCUCACUGAAGGACUUGGGAAGCCAGACCAACACUCAGAGGCCAAGUAUAACCGAAAGUCUGAAUUCAUUAUAGAUGGCAUCGUUGCUCUUCCUACUACAUUUGUAUUGUAGGGGAGCUACCUUCUUUAGCUGGAGCCUCGUAUUUGGAGAGGGCCCUCCCCAAAGCUGCUACUUGCAGAAUGCAAGGAGGAAACAAGGGUUGUGGAGGCAACGGGGCUGCAACAGGCUCUGGCCUCCCUGUUUCACCUCUGCAACCAGAGGGGGUGGUGCAAACUGUAUAUGGGCAGAGUGGCUCCCUAAUGGCUGGGGACUUCCACAUCCUGUGAUGUCCAAAGGAGAUUUCUUUUUUAGUCCUGGGUCCUAAGAUCAUGCCUCCUACUGUAUCCUCAUUCUAGCCCAUGUGGGUGACUGACCCGUGUGAGGCAUGAGCACUCAGGAACCCAGACUUGGGGCUGCCUGCCUCUGGGCUGCAUACUGACCUACAGGCUUUCAUGAGUUGGUACAUUCAUUAAUAAAAAUCCAUCAGUCCUUCAGAACAAGUCCUGCCCCAGCGGAAUAACAUACUUCCUGGCCUGGGAAGCAUUCCAGAACUCCAAGGGAGGCAUAAGCCUUGAACAAAGCCUAUUUUCUUCAUGCUUUCACAUUGGAGGCACACCUACGACAUCCUAAUGUCAUAUUACCCCACUAGAAGGAGACAUCCCAGCCAUAAAGUAGACCCAAUAUAAAAUUUUCCUACAAACAGCCUUCUGUUUGCUGGGAAAGUAUUUCACUUGCACCAUUUACUAACAUUGAACAAUCAAGAAUGAAACCAAUAGACAACAGCCAUUUGUCAAAGAAUUUUCCCUUGGGUACUCCUGCCUGCCCCUGUCAGUGUCAGCUAAGAGGGAUGUAGGUUAAGUGCUUCUCUGCACAGCUGCUUCAGGGAACUUCAGUCCUCCGUUCACAUGGCACCACCCAAAGAAGCCACAGAGGGCACUGCUGAAGCUCCCCACCGUCCACACGCUGCCCCAUUCCAGUCCUAUCUGGCAAGCAUGGGCCUCCCCAGCCUGGCCCCGGGAAAUGGCAUGUGACCAGGAAGUGCCUGCAACUGUGUGAUGAGGGGGCUGGACCAGGUGUGCUCAGAUCCCUCCCAGAGCUAGCAUUCCCAGUCUAUACGCGUGCACUCGCACACGAAUGGUGUUCUCCCUAAGCCAGCAGUGCGAUACCUUAUUGGGUCUUGCCGAUCUGAUCUUGGGCCAUGGUUCUCUCUAGAUCAUUGCAGAGCUCCGUUUGCUAUCCUGGAAGACGGCAGCAGGAGGAGAAAACAGCUUUAUAGUGUGUUUAACUAGGCAAGAGGCAAAAACAAAGUCUGGCUGAAAAUUACCACUUGAAGCUUGGCCACUGCCAAAACAGUACUAGCUCCCUAUGCUUGGAUAAGUGAGAGGCACUGAAUUUGAGGACACGCUUGGAGAUUGUGGUUGGGAGGCAGGGGAGGGAAGCAGGCAGCCACCUCACUCCUGGAAAGGAAGCUUCAGUUGCACUCUGGCAUUUACCGCUGCCCACUGGACCUACCAAUUCCAAAUAUGUAUCCUUUUUCUUAACCAGAUCUUUAUUGCUGGGGUCAGAUAAAAAAUCUCAUCUCUGUUGUGAAAAUGAAUAGAAUCAGAUCUGGAAGUCAUUGUGGUGAGUGCAAAAUCUGGAACUUCAGGGUGGCAUUUUUAUAGCUACUUUCCUGCCUCAACCUGCUGGGGUAGUUUCCCUUGCUACUGAUGGAAGCCCUUGAAUACAUUACAGCUGGGGUUUUAACCUGCUUCUAAUUAGUGACAAGAAUUAAGGUAUUUUGGAGCUGCUUAGUGGGAAUUAAAAAGCCACCCACUUCGUCUGCAUCAAGAACCUUUAAGAUAUCUUGCACUAUUGAGCCAGGGGUUUUUACUGGCACUGGUGAAUGGUCUUCCCCCAGUGUUCCCCCUCAAAGCCUCCACUAUAUAAACCUCAGGGUUUUUUUUAAUAAACCUUCCCACUGAUCUUAACCUACACAUCCACUCCAAGAGGGGAAUUUUGGUGUCAAGGAUCCAGUUGAUCUUAGUGGCAAGUAGUUCAAGUCAGCCCUGUUAAGGCCAUAGAAGAAUUACGAUCUAAUUUUUCUGCUGCAGGAACUUAAAGGGACUCCUCACUGGACUUUGUUACUUCUAUGCCAGAAUAUAAGUAGUUUCUAAGAGAGGCCACUUUUCCUCCAAGGCUAUCAUGAUAUAGGACAUAGGCAGAAAUCCAUCUUCCAAGUGAGGUUGACCUCACCUUGUCCCCACAUCUGCCAUACUCUCGGAGGAGACACUGGCCCAGGACAGAGCUAGGGUUGACAGUCUCCAACUAUCGCCCAUUCUUCACAGGGAGACCUGUGUGGGAUUCCUUGUGUCUGCAACUGACCUCCUCAGGCUUCAGAGCACUUGCUCCCCUGCGGGGAGGGAAUGAGCACCAGUGUCCUCAAGGAUGCCUGCGAUCAGAGAAUCAACCUUCCACAAGGGCAAGUGGAACCAGGAGAGAUGGCAGCCAGAGCUCCAGCAGGGAUCUGCCUCUGGUGCUCUAAGUCAAAGGAGCUCCCUGGCUUCAGGAUUCAACAGAUGACCAGUUCUCAACAAUUCUAAAACACAGAUACUAGGUAUCCAGAAAAUUUGAGAGGAUCUAGCGUGUCCUCCCCCACCCUCUCCCCAGAGCCCAGCACCACAAGCAAAAAGAUUUUUGUUACUGAGCACAAGAAAGGCCAACUCAUUGAUAAUGUCCAGAGAUGCCUGCUUUAUUUCUUACUAGGUGAUUGCAUUUCAGGCUUGUGACAUCAAGUAACUGUCUAAUCACCAACUAACUUUGUACCUCUGAACUACGAAUUAAUCCAAUUCAGCAAGGAGCAGUGCUGUCAACAGCUGACUGGGGGCUGGAUUUUUCAAAUCAGUGGUCUUGGCUGACAGAAUGCUGUCAGUGGAGCCAAGGGUAAGGCCUGAGAUCGUGUGAAAGACCCUAAUGCCUAGUGAAGAUAGGCCCAAAUCCUGUGAACCCCUAGACAAAGCUCUCCACCCCAAGUUCCAAGGACACAGCUGUUGUUACCUUCCUUUUGUGGGAGCUGAGCUACCUGACCCUAGCAGAGUGGAUCCAAGGCCUACUUUUAGUUGACAGGUCCUCUGCUCCCACUGUCACCCUAGGACACAUCUCUUUGUGCAGGUUCUUAGGAAAAAGCUAGGCUUCUGGUAAUUUCUUGUCACUUUUUAGUUCUGCUUUGAAAAGAAAAAGAGGGAUGACAGGUAACCAAAGGUGGACACAGGCACCUCAGCAGAGCUGCAGUGGCCCCCAGGCCCAGAGUGGGGCCGAGUCAGAGGCCUGUGCCGGUGAGGUGGGGCUCCUCCAAGAACACAGGGCUGGGUGCCUCUUGGGAAGAUGUCCAAAGGGAAGAAUUUAUUAACAAAAUUCCAAGACAGUAGAGGCUGUUCAUAGAUGAGGGCAGAAACUUGGAGAAAGUAAAUCAAAGAAGAAAGAUAUAAGGAAAAAAUGAGAAAUC